CGAAUUCUCUUUGACUAGGGAUCCAAAGAGGGUGCUAGACCCUUACGCAUUGUUGACUUUUCGUACGCGUUCGUUUCUUGGAGUAGGGUUGUUUUGGAUCGCAGCCCAAAGUAGGUGGUAUACUUCAUCUAAAGCUAAAUACGACUACGAAUCCGAUAGCAAACAAGUACCGUGAGGGAAAGUUGCAAAGUACUUUGAAGAGAGAGUUCAAGAGGACGUGAAACCGGUAGGGUGGAAGCAGAUAAAGUUGACGAACGUGUGUCGUAUUCAGAACUACAAUUUGUGGUUUGUUUUUACGAUCGAUGUGGGCUGGCGUCUUUGGUUAACUUAGUGUCUGGCGGCAAUGGUGACCCUGCGGAGGGAUAAUCGGUUGUCGUGCGAUGCUUGGUAUGGCUAGAGGUUCGCUGGUCUUAUAGUCAUCGCUUUAUCUGACCCGUCUUGAAACACGGACCAAGGAGUGUAGCGCUUACGCGAGUCUUAGAGUGUGUCAAAACUUUGAGGCGUAACGAAAGUAAAUGUGGAUUUAUUCACUGACUUGGGAUGCGUUGUCUUUUUUGGAUAGCGUUGGACCAUGGUUUUAUCGUAAUCGCUUGCGAUGCGGUGAAAAUAGAGCGUAAGCGGUGCGA
rnacentral:rRNA from 12 species